CAAGGCCAAAUAUUCUGAAUCAGGAAGUGAAAAAUUUGAUUUCCAGAGUCAGGAAACAGUUAAUCUUGAGGAACACGAACAGUGUUCGUUUCAAUGUAAGGACAAAGCUUCAGACUGUUCGAGCCAAAAGAUUUAUAAGGAAGACGAGUGCCGUUGCGUUUGUAAAAAUCAACAUAGAUCUGGCAGCUGUCAUAAGGACCAAACCUGGGACUCCGAGGUCUGCGAGUGUAUAUGUAAGAACUAUUCUAAGUGUUCGACAGGGCUCUAUUUUAACACGCGGACUUGCAGAUGUGACACCGUCAGUUUACUAUGAAGUUUUUAACCCUAACUAGACGUCGCUUAGCAGCCCAGUGAGACUUCUUGAUUCGAGAGUUAAACUACCUGGUUUUAAAAACUCCUUACAUGGUUAAUAAACAUACAGUUGAGUCAUAUAUAUGCUAAUUUUAUACAUAUCUUACUAUUAAUUAUGACCAAUGCUGUUUAUGUUCAAUAUCAGUCUAGAAUACUUGCUACGAGGAACUGUUUCACAAAACGUGAGUUUCAAUAAAUUAUUAUAAUCUUUUCAGUCACUACCAAA